rnacentral:lncRNA from 10 species
CCCAUAUGGACAGAUGGCCCUAUUUUUAAAGACAAGUCAGAAAUUCAUAUUUUAUGUGAACUUUUCCUAUUUUUAAAUGUGCCUAACCAAUUUAAAAGAGAUUUAAACCAUUUUGCAGCUCAAACACAUUUCUGCAAGCCAGGCACAGCCCCCACACCGGGUCGGAGGACCAUCUGUUCAUUAGGAAACCUGUGUGGAACCUGUUUCCACACCUGGUAAUAACCCUUCAGAUGAAAACACUUUGCAUUUAGAUGUGGUAAGCAUCUUGCCAAACCCCACUUCUGAAAAUUCUGUAAACUCUUCCCACCUGCCUAAAGAUGCCCUGGUGUGGCGCUCACCAGCCUGUCUGGCAGAUGAGAUAAUUAACUCGAGGAAGCCUCUGCAUGCAGGUCUCCUGGGCUGAAAGAGCACUGUGGAUGGAACGCAUGGCCCCUCCCUGCACACAUGAAAAGGGGCCCAGAUGAUGAACCUAAGACGGUUAGAAGAAACAGGUGUUUUUCUUCCCCUACACGGUUUUCCAUGUGAUAGCAGGU